GUUAUAGGGUCAAGCGAACAAGUGCAUGUGGUGGAUGCCUUGGCGAUCACAGGCGAUGAAGGACGCGGUAGCCUGCGAAAAGCUACGGGGAGCUGGCAAACGAGCUUUGAUCCGUAGAUGUCCGAAUGGGGAAACCCACUCCUUAUGGAGUAUCCAUGGCUGAAUACAUAGGCCAUGCGAAGCGAACGCGGUGAACUGAAACAUCUAAGUAACCGCAGGAAAAGAAAUCAACCGAGAUUCCCAAAGUAGUGGCGAGCGAAAUGGGAUGAGCCUUGCACUCUUUAUUUGUAUUGUUAGCCGAACGC
rnacentral:rRNA from 2 species